CCUACGGGGGGCAGCAGUGAGGAAUAUUGGUCAAUGGACGAGAGUCUGAACCAGCCAAGUAGCGUGAAGGAUGACUGCCCUAUGGGUUGUAAACUUCUUUUAUAUGGGAAUAAAAUGUUCCACGUGUGGGUUUUUGUAUGUACCAUAUGAAUAAGGAUCGGCUAACUCCGUGCCAGCAGCCGCGGUAAGACGGAGGAUCCGAGCGUUAUCCGGAUUUAUUGGGUUUAAAGGGAGCGUAGGUGGAUGGUUAAGUCAGUUGUGAAAGUUUGCGGCUCAACCGUAAAAUUGCAGUUGAAACUGGCAGUCUUGAGUACAGUAGAGGUAGGCGGAAUGCGUGGUGUAGCGGUGAAAUGCUUAGAGAUCACGAAGAACUCCGAUUGCGAAGGCAGCUCACUGGACUGCAACUGACACUGAGGCUCGAAAGUGUGGGUAUCAAACAGGAUUAGAUACCCUGGUAGUC
rnacentral:rRNA from 1 species